GAAGCAAAGGUCAGAGGGACUGGCCGUAGGCACAUGUGAAGCUUUCUUGCCAAUCUUCAUUGAACUCACACUUCAAAAGUCAUGGUUUUCUCUUUGUUUUAUUGUAAUUUUCUGUUUUAUUAUAAAGAAGAUUGCAGAAAAGAGGCAGAAUAGGAGAGCUGAAAGACAAAAAAAGAGUAUCUAAACAACAGAGGACACAUACUGGGAUCUCUGGAGCUCAUCCCUUCAGAGGGCCCUUCCCAGAAGAACUGUAUCUCCACUUCCUCGGUUCUCUGGAAUAAAUUACAAGCUUAUGACUCAUGAGUCCAAACAGGACAGUCUUUACGUCUACCCAUCUUAUGACUGAUGUGGCUCUCAAGGAACAAUAAAACCUAAGCAAAUUAUGGGAACAAGCAUUUAUCAACCACGCAAAUGAAGCCAUUCUUUGUAUGUAUUAUGCAUCUCAAUCUCCAUAUAUGGUUAUCAACGUAAUAAUUCAAGUAAAGGGUUUUUCUACACCAGGAGUUCCAAAAUCAAGCUACAUUCAAAGAGAGAAACAACACAUUGGAUACUCAAGUUAUGAACCGUGAGAAGAGUCAGAAAUUCCUUAUAGGAUAGAACAUGUGCAAUUGAAAUCUAAUAUUAAGUUUUCUGUGGAAAAACACAUAUAUGUGUACUAUAUGGCUAUCUGAUCAUUUUAAAAACAUACUCAGAAUACUUUAAUAAAACACUGUGAGUAUGAAUUAUCUAUGCUUUAAACACUUUACUUCUCUUUCUGCAUUUAUGCCAUCACUUCUUAUCUCUUCAUACCUUGAACUUUUUCUUUUCCCCCUCUCUCACUCUAUGACUCCUGAACAAAACUGUCAUUUCCAAUAUCUAACUUCAUUAACUAAGUAGGGAUGGCAGAUGUUUAUUAUCACCAAAAUGCAGCAUAACAUUUGCAAACUGGUUUAUGACAUGCAUCUUUAUAAAGUGCUCAGUGAAAUGCAUAAACGAUUGAUUGAAAAUUGGUCAAAGAGAAUAUUGAGUACUUUAUUAGUUACUGGCUAAAGCUAAGGAGUUACAGAAAAGCAUCAUAUCUAAAUAAGGAGUUUUAUUUGAAAUAUGUAAUUUCAUUAUGAAUAAAUUCCAUAAAAUAAACUAAGAAUUGCUAAAU
rnacentral:lncRNA from 1 species